rnacentral:lncRNA from 1 species
CUGGGAGACGUUUGAGACCCAGCGUCUCUAGAUCUCGUAUUUGAAUUUGUGGCGCUUGGUGUCCGCGAGUUGCCGAAUGAAGCUGAGCGUCUCAGUGGAACCAGGGAUCUCAGGGUUUAAGAUGAGGUCAGUGAUCCUAGCCUAGCCCUUGGCUCUUCCUGUAUAUAAGAUAAAUUCUGAGGGAUUAGUGACUAUGCCUCUGUAAUCAGUAACAAGAUGUACUCUCACACCCAAACUUUGAUGGCACUUUGCUCUAACGUAACUUGUGAGCAUGUUUAAUGUAACUUAUGAGCAGAUGCAGAACUGCCACCCCCUGAUACAGGGGCUGAAAUACUGCUUGGGAAUCUCUCUGAAAGAUUCUCCUGGGUUACAGUCUUCAGUAAGACUGAAUAAAACUAAAUUUUCUUUUUUAAAAGCCUGAUUUUUUUCCUUUAGUUGACAAUCCAUUUGAAGUUUGUACUAUUCUGUGCCUCUUAGUUAUGCCAUAGACAUGGAUUAUGAGGGUUUUUUCAGUUAAUUUUUUUUUCUUUUAGCAAUACCCAUGUAGCCUCAUCUCUUCAUUAUUUUUAAAGUUUUAUGGAGGUUAUGUGGAGGCAUUUGGAUUUAGGUGGUUACCAUGUUUUUUAGGGGAAGCUAUAGUUCUCUUCUGCAGUAGAAAACAGAUGAAUACACCUAGAUUUCUUCCUGCGUGAAUCCAGUUGUUUUUUUUUUUUUUUUUUUUUUAGAGAUAGUGUUUCGCCAUAUUGCCUAGGCUGAUAUUGAACUCCUGGAUUCAAACAGUCCACCUGCCUCAGCCUCCCAAAAUGCUGGGAUUGCAUGGGAUUACAGAUAUGUGCCACCACACCCAGCCUCCAGUGCUUCUUACUAUUUUCCUGUUAGCUUUUACAAGAUGGCUUACCUCUUACUUCACCAAGAAAGUAGGGGCAAUCUGGAGGGAACUCCCUUUGCUCCUGCUAGGCACCCUUAUCGCUCCUCAAUAUUUAGAAAUGUUACCCAUAACUAUCCUUCUUUUCCUGUCUCCUGUUAAAGCUUCGCUUUCAUCCCCUUCUGUCUUCUCAGGGGAAGGUAUAAAAUUUUCAAAUGGAGGAGUAUACCUGAACCUAAUCAUGGAUGUGAUUUUAUGUAAGUAAUAUGUGAGAUACAGAUAAGCUGAUUCUAAAACUUACAAGAAUGGCAAAGAAACAAGAAGAGCUUAAACUGGCAAUCAUCAACAGAGAAGCUUUCUGCAACCAAAGAGUGAAGACUGAAGCCUUAGGCUAUGGCAGAAGUUGGGCGCCUGAAGUACACGUGGAAAUAUGCCAACUGAACAUUGGACUACCACGUCAAGGGUCUCCUACCCCUGGGCCAUGGAUCAAUACCAGUCUGUGACCUGUUAGGAACCGGUAGCAGGAGGUGAGUAGCAGCCUAGCGAGCACUACUGCCUAAGCUCCACCUCCUGUCAGAUCAGUAGUGACAUGAGAUUUUCAUAGGAGCAGAAACCCUAUUGUGAACUCCAAACACAAGGGAUCUAGGUUAUGCACUACUUAUGAGAAUCUAAUGCCUGAUGAUCUGAGGUGGAACAGUUUCAUCCUGAAACCACCGCCCCCAUGUGUGGAAAAAUUGUCUUCCACAAAACUGGUCCCUGGUACCAAGAGCUUUCACAUUCCAAUAAAAAUGCUAAAUCAGCGCUACACCAGAAUUGUUAUGGCGUAAAUAGCUAGUCACAUUUAAAGGAGGAAAAGAUAUAGAAAUAUCAACCAGACUAUGUAACGUUAGAUGAAUUUGACUUUAUAGAAAUGGAGUUGCACAUUUAUAUGCUUGUGAACACAUGAAGAGCAGUGUGAAGAAGUGUCAGGCAUAAUACUAAGUAUACACACUACAUCAAGAUACACCUCUGUUUUUCUAAGUAUGCGAUCAUUUGCCUUCAGUAUGUGAUAGAAGAUGAUUUAGCUUUGUAUGAAUGUGUCCAUUUUAGGAAGAUCAACUCAGUUUUUGUUCAUGUGUUUAUUUUCAUAAAGAGCACAUAAGCUGUUGCUGUCAUUUGUAUUAACUUCGUUAAAUUAUGCUUGUCUUAUUGUACAUCAUCUAUCAGUAAUUAGGAUAGUCUUUGAAAUUCUCUGUGUCAGAUAUUAUUUCUUUAUUUGUUUAUAUUUACAGAUCUGAUUUAUUUUAAAAUAAAUGGUCACACAAUCAAAAAAUUUUAUUACACCAUCAUCCACAAACAGUUAUCACAUGCUGGUGCUCACUUUACACAUAUGCCAUUUUGGCUGAUGCACUCACCCCAUGGAACCUAUUGUUUACCAACAGGGCCUAAGAAUCCGUAUCUUUUUUUGAGGAUUAACUCUAUAAAGCAGAUCUUGUCCCUUCUUACCAUGUGUACAUGGGAAUUAUCAACCUUAAACCUGUAUCUUUUUCUGAGACCCUAUUGGGAAUAAGAUAGCUCCUUCUGUUUCAGUUUACAGAGAGAAACCUGACAUUGGCAGUCAUUCUUCAGAAACAAUAGCUUUAUCCUGAUAUCUGGUUUUUUCCUAAGGACAAAUAAGCAGGUACAGGCUUACCUUAAAGGGCAAAAUGGAGAAAACAAAUAAAAACCAAAGAAGAAAAAUCUAUCGUCUUCAGUUAUCUAUGGAUAUUUGACUUAUCCAGUUGUUAACAAUUGGCUUUUAGGUUCCUAAUACAGCUCCUAGAAUUACCGCCUGCCCCUGGCUCAGCGCCCGGUGCCAACAGAACACCUUUCAGGAUCCACAGCAACGCAGACAACGUAAGUACCAGCCGUUCCCUGAAACCCUUUUGCAGAUUUUUUAAAAACAACCACCUAAAACAUAGAGAGAGAGAGACAAGCCUCUUUCCCCUUCUUCUCCCCUGCGUUAUGCCACCAGUGUUUCCUCAGUAGCCCCUUCCAAAUCGCUCUGCCUUCAAGUUUGUGCAUGUCUGUGUGGCAUCCCUCCUCCUCCUUCACUCCCAUAGUGGAUCUUGUAAAAGGGCUUCAGAUCGGCCCCAUUCAUCUCCCUGGUGAUAGCAGUGAAUGUAGAUAAAUCUCUGGCUGCCUGCUUGCUGCUGGAGUAUGAUUUUUAUUUUGUCUUCUGUGUAUACCUGGGUCAAAAAGUGGGAUGUAUGCAUACACAUACAUGCACAUACACAUAUUUCCUUCUCUCUCCUCUCUCUCCCUCCUUUUUCUCACACAUGCAUACAUCCUACAUAUGUGUGUAUAUGCAUAAACAUAUACACCUAUAUACAUACCCAUACCUGUAGCACAAAAUAUAUACAUAUCUAAACGU